rnacentral:rRNA from 1 species
GACGAACGCUGGCGGCGUGCUUAACACAUGCAAGUCGUACGGUAAGGCCCUUUCGGGGGUACACGAGUGGCGAACGGGUGAGUAACACGUGAGUAACCUGCCCACAACUUUGGGAUAACGCUAGGAAACUGGUGCUAAUACUGGAUAUGUGCUCCUGCUGCAUGGUGGGGGUUGGAAAGCUCCGGCGGUUGGGGAUGGACUCGCGGCCUAUCAGCUUGUUGGUGGGGUAGUGGCCUACCAAGGCGGCGACGGGUAGCCGGCCUGAGAGGGUGACCGGCCACAUUGGGACUGAGAUACGGCCCAGACUCCUACGGGAGGCAGCAGUGGGGAAUAUUGCACAAAGGGCGCAAGCCUGAUGCAGCAACGCCGCGUGCGGGAUGACGGCCUUCGGGUUGUAAACCGCUUUCAGCAGGGACGAAGCUUUUUGUGACGGUACCUGCAGAAGAAGCACCGGCUAACUACGUG